GACGAACGCUGGCGGCGUGCCUAAUACAUUCCAGUAGGACGCAGUUGCGAACGGGUGAGUAACGCGUAUGUAACUGCCUCUUAGUGGGGGAUAACUACUGGCAACGAUAGCUAAUACCGAAUACUAGUCGAUCGUGCUGCGUUGUAUUAUCUAGUAGGUAGGGUAAUGGCCUACCUAGGCAACGAUACAUAGCCGACCUUAGAGGGUGAUCGGCCACACUGGGACUGAGACACUGCCCAGACUCCUAAGGGAGGCAGCAGUAGGGAAUCUUCGGCAAUGGGGGGAACCCUGACCGCGCAACGCGGCGUGAGUGAAGAAGGUUUUCGGAUCGUAAAGCGCUGUUGUUAAGGAAGCGGUACUUAACCAGAAAGGGACGGCUAACUACGUGCCAGCAGCCGCGGUAAUAC
rnacentral:rRNA from 1 species